rnacentral:rRNA from 1 species
UUCGCAAUGCCCGAAAGGGUGACGAAGCGACGCCGCGUGAGCGAAGAAGGCCUUCGGGUUGUAAAGCCCUGUCAGGAGUUAAGGAAUGUAGAUACGCUAAUAUCGUAUCUAUUUGACAAAGGCUCCAAAGGAAGCCACGGCUAACUCUGUGCCAGCAGCCGCGGUAAUACAGAGGUGGCAAGCGUUGUUCGGAAUUAUUGGGCGUAAAGAGCACGUAGGUGGAUUUGUAAGUCAGAUGUGAAAGCCUUCUGUUCAACGGAAGAAUUGCAUCUGAAACUGCAGAUCUUGAGUAUAGGAGGGGAGAGUGGAACUUCUGGUGGAGCGGUGAAAUGCGUAGAUAUCAGAAGGAACGUCGGCGGCGAAAGCGGCUCUCUGGCCUAUUACUGACACUGAGUGUGCGAAAGUUAGGGGAGCAAACGGGAUUAGAUACCCCGGUAGUCUUAACCGUAAACGAUGGGCACUAAGUAGAGGGGUUUU